rnacentral:siRNA from 1 species
UAUUUGAAAAAUUUCGGGUACA